GGGGUCGGCGCGCGCGGGAAGCGCCAGCGGGGAGGCCGGCCGACCCCUCUGCGUGAGCCGCGCGUUAUGGCCCUAUCGGUGCCUGGCUACUCGCCCAGUUUCAGGAAGCCUCCCGAGACUUUGCGGCUCCGACGGAAAAGGGCCCGGAGCCGGGGGGCGGCCGCUUCACCCGGCGAGCAGCCCGAGCCGGCGCCCCGCCGCGCCGCUUUGGCGGCCGGGCUGCUCCUCCGCCCCUUCCCGGCGGCGGCGGCGGCGGCUGUGGGCAGAGGCGGCGGCGGCCCGGCCGCGGCCCGCAGGAACCCCUUCGCCCGCCUGGACAACCGGCCUUCGGCCACCGCGGAGCCCCCCGACGGGCCGCCCCGCGGCCAGCAGGAGGCGCAGGGCCCGUUUUUAGAUUCUAAUCAGGAAAAUGAUUUGCUGUGGGAAGAGAAGUUUCCUGAAAGAACAACCGUUACUGAAUUACUCCAGACUCCACAAGGAUCAGUCUCUGAAUCUGAUAUUCCAUCCUCAGAAAGUACUGAGUUACCUGCAGACUGGAGUAUUAAAACUCGACUCCUUUUCACUUCUUCUCAACCCUUUACCUGGGCAGAUCAUUUGAAAGCACAGGAAGAGGCUCACGGUGUCAUCCAGCAUUGUAGGGCAACAGAAGUUACUUUGCCUCAAAGUAUACAGGAUCCCAGGCUCUCCACUGAGCUCCGUUGUGCCUUCCAGCAGAGCCUUAUCUAUUGGCUCCAGCCUGCCUUUCCUUGGCUACCACUGUUCCCUCGCAUUGGAGCUGAUAGAAAAAUGUCUGGAAAGAUAAGCCCUUGGUCAAAUGAUGAAACCUUGCAACACAUUUUAAUGAGUGACUGGUCUGUGAGCUUCACUUCUCUCUAUAAUCUGCUGAAGACAAAACUUUGCCCAUAUUUCUACGUUUGUACCUAUCAGUUUACUAUCCUGUUCCGCGCAGCAGGAUUAGCUGGAAAUGAUGUAAUCACAGCUCUCAUAUCUCCUACAACUAGAGGCAUAAGAGAAGCUAUGAAAAAUGAAGGUAUUGAAUUUUCUCUGCCAUUAAUAAAAGAAAAUGGCCAUGGGAAGAAAAAGGCUUCCGGAACAAGCCAAGGACAGGGAGAGGAACAAGUAAUCAGUGAUGAGGAUGAAGAUGAAAGUUUUUCCUGGCUGGAAGAGAUGGGUGUGCAAGAUAAAAUUAAAAAACCAGACAUACUCUCUAUCAAGCUACGUAAAGAGAAACAUGAAGUGCAAAUGGAUCACAGACCUGAGUCUGUUGUGUUGGUGAAGGGAAUGAAUACCCUUACGUUGCUGAAUUUUUUGAUCAACUCUAAGAGUUUAAUUGCUAGUUCAGGUCCCCAGGCAGGACUUCCACCAACCCUCUUAUCGCCUGUAGCUUUCCGAGGUGCCACAAUGCAAAUGCUUAAGGCACGAAGUGUAAACGUGAAAACACAAGCUGUUUCUGGAUACAAAGAUCAAUUUAGUUUGGAGAUUACAGGUCCUGUCAUGCCUCAUUCUCUACAUUCUGUAACCAUGCUACUCAGAUCUUCACAAAAGGGGUCAUUUUCUGCUGGACUGUAUACACAUGAGCCAACUGCCGUAUUUAAUACCUGCCUGCCAGUGAAUAAAGUACUGGAUAAGGAGACUGUUCAUGAGGAGCUUGCCAACUGUGGGUUGCAUCCUAAGACUCUGGACCAACUCAGUCAAACACCAAUACUGGGAAAAUCAUCUUUAAGGCAUGUGGAAAUGAGUGACUACGUUUAUAAUUGGAGAUCCUGAACACCAAACUUUGUAAAUUAUAUGCUGGGGAGAAAGCAUGCCAAUGAUGUGUGACUAGACAUUAAGUUCAACAAGGUGCUCUGAUGGAAGGAGGCAGCUGUGGAGGCUUACUAAGUGAGCUGCAAGUUCAUGUCAAAACCUUAUUACCAGAUAGUAAUUAAUUUUCUAUUUGUAUUUUUAAAUGUGAAGA